AGUGUAUCGAUCCUUGGCUCCAUAGGAAAACAUCAUGCCCGGUGUGCAAGUCAUCUAUCACCUAAUUUACCGCUGGUUUCAGAUGGAUAAUUUCUUAUUCUACUACAGAAUGUUGGCUGUCCCAUUUUGGUCUGAGGUCCUAAUGAAGUCUGCCAAACCAGUGGCAAGUCUGAAGGCCGCAGUUUUUUCCCCAUGAUAGAUUAGUUACAAAUAUACCUGAUUGAUGGGGCUACACAGGAGUGCUGAAAUGGUGACCACAUGCUACUUUGAGAGCUCAAGAAUAUUUUGAUUCAUAGUGACACUAAUCUAUGUUAAAACUUUUAACUUUUGGUUGAACUUUUAUGUU